AGCAAAUUUAUGCAGAGAGGUUCAUAUAUAUUCCAAAAUGAACCAAGUUCAAGGUCGUAGCACAUGGUUUUGUUCCCACCAUAUAUCCACCAGCUAGCACAGGCUGUACUGAUUCAUUUGCUGCCCUGAAUCAAAGGUUUUCUGCGACAAAUUAAAUUAAGGAUUCUAAAUUCCUCACGGGUAAUAUUUUGAGACGUGGUGUUUUCUAUUUUUAUUCUUGUAAUAAUUUAUCAAAUCAUCAAAGCAAGCAAUUGUACGAGCCAC
rnacentral:lncRNA from 1 species